rnacentral:rRNA from 1 species
AUUGAACGCUGGCGGCAGGCCUAACACAUGCAAGUCGAACGAGCGGCGGACGGGUGAGUAAUGUCUGGGAAACUGCCUGAUAGAGGGGGAUAACUACUGGAAACGGUGGCUAAUACCGCAUACGAUCGGAUGACCCCAUAUGGGAUUAGCUAGUAUGGUGGGUAAAGGCUCACCUAGGCGACGAUCUCUAGCUGGUCUCCAAGGAUGACCAGCCACACUGGGACUGAGACACGGCCCAGACUCCUACGGGAGUCAGCAGUGGGGAAUAUUGCACAAUGGGCGCAAUCCUGAUGCAGCCAUGCCGCGUGUAUGAAGAAGGCCUUCGGGUUGUAAAGUACUUUCAGCGGGGAGGCGUUACCCGCAGAAGAAGCACCGGCUAACUCCGUGCCAGCAGCCGCGGUAAUUC